UGCCAGCAGCCGCGGUAAGACGAGGGGCCCAAGCGUUAAUCGGAAUCACUGGGCUUAAAGGGUGCGUAGGCUGAUGCGAAGGUGUCUUGUGAAAUCCCUCGGCUCAACCGAGGAACUGCAAGGCAAACCACGUGUCUUGAGACAUGUAGGGGUCGUCGGAACGAUAGGUGGAGCGGUGAAAUGCGUAGAUAUCUAUCGGAACGCCAAUGGAGAAGUCAGGCGACUGGGCAUGUUCUGACGCUGAGGUACGAAAGCGUGGGUAGCGAACGGGAUUAGAUA
rnacentral:rRNA from 1 species